rnacentral:tRNA from 1 species
GGUUUGUGGCUCAGCGGUAAAGCACUUGCCUAGCACGUGGGAGGCCCUGGGUUCAAUCUUCAGCACCA